GUUACUGGGGUGGGAUAGCCAUGCGAGUUGAGCGUCACCUAGCCAUGUUGGAGACGCAGCGUACGGCUCAAUAUCACGUAGUCAAUCUGCCCUCGGGACGAGAACAACCCUGGGAAACUGGGGGUAAUUCUCGAUAGGCGCAGUGGCCUGGAACGGUACUGCACCUAAAGGACUUUAGGUACAUGCUCCUGAAGUCGCCCUAGGAUGAGACUGCGGCCGAUCAGGUUGUUGGUGGGGUAACGGCUCACCAAACCUUUGACCGGUACGGGCCAUGAGAGUGGUAGCCCGGAGAUGGGCACUGAGACAGGGGCCCAGGCCCUACGGGGCGCAGCAGGCGCGAAAUCUCCACAAUAUACGAAAGUAUGAUGGGGUUACCUCGAGUGCAGUCCGAUAAGGGUUGCUUUUCCAUAGAGUAAUAUCCUGUGGGAAUAAGAGGGGGGCAAGACUGGUGUCAGCCGCCGCGGUAACACCAGCCCCUCGAGUGGUGGGGACUAUUAUUUGGCCUAAAGCGUCCGUAGUCGGCUGUGUCCGUUAUCCGUUAAAUCCGGCGUCCUAAGCGUCGGGCUGCGGGUGAUACCACACAGCUAGAGGGUGGGAUAGGUAAGCGGUAUUUCUGGGGUAGGGGCGAAAUCCUUUGAUCCCAGGAGGACCACCAGUGGCGAAGGCUGCUUACUAGAACACGCCUGACGAUCAGGGACGAAAGCUGGGGUAGCGAACCGGAUUAGAUACCCGGGUAGUCCCAGCUGUAAACGAUGCGCGCUAGGUGUUGGGUCGGCCACGCGCCGCCCCAGUGCCGCAGGGAAGCCGUUAAGCGCGCCGCCUGGGGAGUACGGCCGCAAGGCUGAAACUUAAAGGAAUUGGCGGGGGAGCACCACCAGGCGUGAAGCCUGCGGUUUAAUUGGAGUCAACGCCGGA
rnacentral:rRNA from 1 species